UGACCUCCAAUCAGGUAGGAUACCCGCUGAACUUAAGCAUAUCAAUAAGCGGAGGAAAAGAAACUAACAAGGAUUCCCCUAGUAACUGCGAGUGAAGCGGGAUGAGCUCAAAUUUUGAAUCUGGCGGUCUUUGGCUGUCCGAGUUGUAAUCUAGAGAAGCGUCUUCCGCGCUGGCCCGUGUACAAGUCUCCUGGAAAGGAGCGUCAUAGAGGGUGAGAAUCCCGUCUUUGACACGGACUACCAGUGCUAUGUGAUGCGCUCUCGACGAGUCGAGUUGUUUGGGAAUGCAGCUCAAAACGGGUGGUAAAUUCCAUCUAAAGCUAAAUACAGGCGAGAGACCGAUAGCGAACAAGUACCGUGAGGGAAAGAUGAAAAGAACUUUGGAAAGAGAGUUAAACCGUACGUGAAAUUGCUGAAAGGGAAACGCUUGAUGUCAGUCGCGUCGGCCGGGGAUCAACCUCGCUUUUCGCUGGGUGUAUUUCCUGGUCGACGGGUCAGCAUCGGUUUCGGUCGCCGUACAAGGGCGAGGGGAACGUGGCACUCUCCGGAGUGUGUUAUAGCCCUUCGUCGCAUGCGGUGGUCGGGACCGAGGAACUCGGCACGGCUUCGGCCUGUGCUUAGGAUGCUGGCAUAAUGGCCUUAAGCGACCCGUCUUGAAACACGGACCAAGGAGUCUAACAUGCCUGCGAGUGUUUGGGUGGCAAACUCGAGCGCGAAAUGAAAGUGAAAGUCGAGACCUCUGUCGUGGAGGGCACCGACGCCCGGACCCGAGUCUUUGACGAAGGAUCUGCGGUAGAGCAUGCAUGUUGGGACCCGAAAGAUGGUGAACUAUGCCUGAAUAGGGUGAAGCCAGAGGAAACUCUGGUGGAGGCUCGUAGCGAUUCUGACGUGCAAAUCGAUCGUCGAAUUGGGCUAUAGGGGCGAAAGACUGAUCGAGCCCUCUAUAAGCUGAAGC
rnacentral:rRNA from 1 species